UUAGUUGUCUUGCAUUUUGAAAUUUUUCUUGUUUUCAGUUAGGGUGAUGGAAAGAAAAUAGUAUAUAUGCUUCAAAUUUUUCAAAGUUUGCAAGCCUUUAGAUAAAAAUGCUUCCUAACUGAAUGCCAGGCAUGCCUGAGCUUGCCUUUGUCCGUUUUCUUCACACGUUCCCCAGAACUAAGCCCGGUUUCCUUCUCUGGGCUUGGUGCCACCUGGUUUGCAGCUGAAGAUAGAACCAGCCUCUGCAUUUUGCGUUAGUCUUGCUUGAAGGGUUUAUAAGAAAACAGGAAUACCCAAUGUGGCUGAUUCUCGAAAAAAGUGUAAUUACAUAGAAAUAAAUAGGGUAUGUGUUAGCCUGAAUAUAUCCGGAGUGAUUUAUUAUUUUUGUUACAGUGCAAUAAGUUUUUGUUUUUGAUGUGGAGAUUUUUCACUGAGGAAAAUGUAUGGUAAAUUCUAACAGUAAAAGAAGCAUUUGAAGAGCGAGACUCUGGAGCCAGCCUGCCAGGGUUUGGGAUCCAGCCCCAGCCCUGACUAAUUAUCUGACCUGGGCUAAGCUGUGUCACCAAUUUGUGCCUCAGUUUCCUCAUCAAUAACAUAGAUGUCAUACAUAGUAGCACUUUUCUCCUGAGUACUGAGUAAGUUCAUCUUUGUAAAGCCCUUUCGAACAAGAGCUGGCACAUAGUAAUGUUAUGUAAGUAUUCACUAGCACUAAUAAGUAUUUGUUAAAUAAACAAGCUGAUGGGGGAGGGGGGCGGAGAUCUGAAUUCUGACUUUCUUGUGUGCUUUCCCUUUCGCAACCACCUUCCUUGUCUCUCUUCUGCAUCUUUCUAUUCUGCAAUAACAAAUCCUCUUUUUCCCAUCCAUUUUUUCUCAGAUCUGCUCUUAUGCUCCCACCAUUACAGAGAAAACAAGGAUCUAAGAACCCUAAGGCAGGAAAGUGCAUCUAAUGGGGUUUAGUCCUUUUAUCUGCAAGGAAAAGGAGCUGAGAACCAGAGAGAUUAAUUGACAUGUCAAACAGCUAAGAAAUGUUAAGCAUCUUCAAAAGCUACUUCUCCUUCAAAGCAUGUUAUUUCUGAGACUGAACUUCCCCAUUAUUUCUGACACCUCCUUUUUCUCCCUCUCUUUUUCUCCCUCUUCUGUCCUCCUCCUUCCCUCCCUCUUUGCCUCCGCCUACC
rnacentral:lncRNA from 1 species